GGUUGUGGCUCAGCGGUAGAGUGCUCGCCUAGCAAGUGUGAGGCCCUGGGUUCAAUCCUCAGCACCA
rnacentral:tRNA from 1 species